rnacentral:rRNA from 1 species
UGAGGAAUAUUGGUCAAUGGUCGCAAGACUGAACCAGCCAAGUAGCGUGAGGGAAGACUGCCCUAUGGGUUGUAAACCUCUUUUAUCUGGGGAUAAAGUGAGCCACGUGUGGUUUAUUACAGGUACCAGAAGAAUAAGGACCGGCUAAUUCCGUGCCAGCAGCCGCGGUAAUACGGAAGGUCCAGGCGUUAUCCGGAUGUAUUGGGUUUAAAGGGAGCGUAGGCCGCUUGGUAAGCGGGCAGUGAAAUGCAGAGGCUCAACCUCUGACUGGCUGUUCGAACUGCCAGGCUUGAGUACGCACGAGGUAGGCGGAAUUUGUGGUGUAGCGGUGAAAUGCUUAGAUAUCACAAAGAACUCCAAUUGCGAAGGCAGCUUACCGGAGCGCAACUGACGCUGAAGCUCGAAAGUGCGGGUAUCGAACA